AAUUAAAUAGAAUCACAUGAUCUAAUAAUUAUCACUCCGGUAAUCAUACUUUUUGUCAUUUUUGCACGAAACAUAUAUCAUCUUCUUAUACACAAAUUAUCUACAUAUUAAUUUCUUGCUUCUUCAACUCUAAGCGCCUCCGAGAUGGUUCUGUCAUUGCCCACAACCGCAUGGGUUCCCGGAGUUAUCAGCCGGAGGAGGUGGUUUGAAGGGCACGCGCCUGGUAAGUCGUCGCGUGCUCGCAGCAUCAUCCCCACCUGCGUUUUGCAUGUUAUCACGCCAUGGAUAAGCCCCAAAGCUAUGCAUGACUCUCGAAAGCCAACAAGAAAACGAUCCAUACCUGUGCUUUGGUGGACAUGAACUGGGACUUCCCUCGACUGCGAUGGAGAGAUUACUAGCGCCGAGAAGAGGAGAGCCACCAUUAACAUGGAGGACAUGGUCUUCUUCGCAGUAGAAUGCUCCAUGGCGGCACCUUCAAUGGUUGCAGUAGACAAUGGCCGUGAAUGAGAAAUAUGACUACAUAUUCCAUAUCCAUGGCAUGAAUUGGAUUGAGGUAUGAGUCGAAUUCAACCC
rnacentral:lncRNA from 1 species